rnacentral:rRNA from 1 species
UCUUCCCUCUUUCUUCGUGCCUAAUACAUGCAAGUCGAGCGAACAGACGAGGAGCUUGCUCCUCUGACGUUAGCGGCGGACGGGUGAGUAACACGUGGAUAACCUACCUAUAAGACUGGGAUAACUUCGGGAAACCGGAGCUAAUACCGGAUAAUAUAUUGAACCGCAUGGUUCAAUAGUGAAAGACGGUUUUGCUGUCCCCUAGCAAUGGAGCCGCGAGGCAUUAGCUAGUUGGUAAGGUAACGGCUUACCAAGGCAACGAAGCGUAACCGACCGGGGAGGGGGACGGGCCACACGGGAACGAGGACACGCUCCGGACUCCAAGGGAGGGAGGCGGAAGGGAAUCUUCGGCAAUGGGGAAAAUCUGGACGGGGCAACGCGGCGGGAGGGAUGAAGGUCUUCGGUUGGUAAGAUUCUUUGAUUGGGGAAAAACAAAUGUGUAAGAAAAGAGCCACGUCUUGACGGUACCUGAUCAGAAAGCCACGGCUAACUACGUG